UACAGAGGGGGCGAGCGUUAUUCGGAAUUAUUGGGCGUAAAGGGCGCGUAGGCGGCUUUUCAAGUGCCGGGUGAAAUCCCUCGGCUUAACCGAGGAACUGCCUGUCAGACUGGAAGGCUUGAGACCGGGAGAGGUGAGUGGAAUUCCCAGUGUAGCGGUGAAAUGCGUAGAUAUUGGGAGGAACACCAGUGGCGAAGGCGGCUCACUGGACCGGAACUGACGCUGAGGCGCGAAAGCGUGGGGAGCAAACAGG
rnacentral:rRNA from 1 species